GAGUGUUCAAGGAGAUCUCAUGCAACAUAGACCUGGAACGAAGUAGGAUUUCAGCAAAGAAUUGUUGGAUGAUUGGAUGGGUAGAUGGAUGAAAAGACAAGUUAAUAGAAGGAUACAUGGGUAGGUGGGUGGGUGGUGGACAAAUGGAAUCUCCCCAAAAAGAAAUGACUGAUGAAAAUGAUUUUAAUACAUUAUUCUAAGACACGGCGGCCCUUUAUCCAGGGACUUCCUCCUUACUAUUGUUCAAGGUGUGU
rnacentral:lncRNA from 10 species